UUUUCUUUUCUAUUUGGUUUGAGACAUUUUGCUGCUUAUUGUAUUGCUCUUGACUUUAUCCCAUAUUAAUAGUCAUGCUGCCAAAAUGCUGACAUAUCCCUAUCUAUGUCCUUCUGAAUUGUGCCCACGUGAUUGACAUUUUACAUAAGGUUUCUGUUUAUUGCACCAGUUGCUAUAUAAACAUCUAGAAAAAGUUUGCAAACAGCAACAAACCUCAAAACCUGGUCUGUUUCUUUCCUGCUCGUUGUCUGAACCUUGCACUUUGGCCUUACAUUAGCCAAGCUGCCUUGUGACCGAUUACGGUUCAUCAGCAAAUGGUCAGGAUGUGUGACUAUUAUUGCAAUGCUGGCAAUGGGUUGCCAUCAACCCACAGGGCGGUCCUUCAUUCUUUUCCUCUGCUGGGAAAUUGAAAUUAAAAUGCUGCUUGGGAAACCGAAACCUAAAAAUAUGGGGGUGGGGGGAGACUGGCUCAAUAUUUAAUAGCUGGGAGGUGCAUCAUGGAAAUGAAGGCAGAACCAUCUGCAAAGCUAUUGGAUAUAUGACAUUAGCCAUGCCCACUGUAGAUUUUUUUUUUGAGCCCAUGUACAGGAGACACCUUUAAGAGGUGUGCCAGCUUCAUUUAGUAAGAAUAACCUGGUUUUGUUUCCUCUAUUGGUUUACAAGGUGCAUUAACAGCAAUGUUGGGGUGGCAAAUAGGGGCUGCCAUUGGACUUGGAGUUGCCGUCAUCAGUGCUCCGCUGGUACUGACCGGUAUGGGAUUCACGGGUGCUGGUAUUGCUGGUGGAUCGCUGGCAGCGAAGAUGAUGUCAGCUGCAGCCAUAGCCAAUGGUGGUGGUGUGGCCUCUGGAAGCUUAGUUGCCAUCGGGCAAUCAGCUGGGGCAGCAGGCCUUUCUAUCACUACCAAAGCUGUGAUAACAGCCGUUGGAGCAGCACUGGGAUCACUGUGAAGUUCACGAAAUCAUUGAGAAGAAUAGCACUUAAAUACAUACCUGUGAACUAAGAAGCUUAUUUGCUACUAACCAAUAAUUGAUUUAUCUCAAUCAUAAUCUGAAUAAAAUAAUUUCACAAAUCUC